GACGUAGGGCGCGAGCGUUGUCCGGAUUUAUUGGGCGUAAAGAGCUCGUAGGCGGUUUGUCGCGUCUGCCGUGAAAGUCCGGGGCUCAACUCCGGAUCUGCGGUGGGUACGGGCAGACUAGAGUGAUGUAGGGGAGACUGGAAUUCCUGGUGUAGCGGUGAAAUGCGCAGAUAUCAGGAGGAACACCGGUGGCGAAGGCGGGACUCUGGGCCGAUACUGACGCUGAGGAGCGAAAGCGUGGGGAGCAAACAGG
rnacentral:rRNA from 1 species